rnacentral:rRNA from 1 species
AGGACGAACGCUGGCGGCGUGCCUAACACAUGCAAGUCGAACGGGACCAGGGGCAACUCUGGUUCAGUGGCGGACGGGUGCGUAACACGUGAGGAACAUGACCUUCGGCGGGGGAUAGCCGGCCCAACGGCCGGGUAAUACCGCGUACAACCACUUGGGGACAUCCCUGGGUGGUGAAAGCAGCAAUGCGCCGAUGGAGUGCCUCGCGGCCUAUCAGCUAGUUGGUGAGGUAACGGCUCACCAAGGCGACGACGGGUAGCUGGUCUGAGAGGAUGGCCAGCCACAUUGGGACUGAGACACGGCCCAGACUCCUACGGGAGGCAGCAGUGGGAAUAUUGCGCAAUGGACGAAAGUCUGACGCAGCGACGCCGCGUGUGGGAUGACGGUCUUCGGAUUGUAAAGCACUUUAAGUGGAGAAGGCAGUUACCUAAUACGUAUCUGUUUGACGUUACCGACAGAAUAAGCAACCGGCUAACUCUGUGCCAGCAGCCGA